GCCCUCGUAGCUCAAUGGUAGAGCGCGUCACUAGUAAUGACGAGGUUGCCGGGUAUGUCAUUAUAGCAAGUCGAAAGAAGGUCGUCACUAAUUGCGAGUUAUAGUUCGAUUCCGUCCGAGGGCA
rnacentral:tRNA from 1 species